UGGGAAUAUUGGACAAUGGGGGCAACCCUGAUCCAGCGAUGCCGCGUGUGUGAAGAAGGCCUUCGGGUUGUAAAGCACUUUCAGUUGGGAAGAGAGUUUGAUGGGGAAUAUCUGUCAAAUGAGACGUUACCGACAAAAGAAGCACCGGCUAACUCUGUGCCAGCAGCCGCGGUAAUACAGAGGGUGCGAGCGUUAAUCGGAGUGACUGGGCGUAAAGAGCAUGUAGGCGGUUAUAUUAGUCUGAUGUGAAAGACCUGGGCUUAACCUGGGACACGCGUUGGAAACGGUAUGACUAGAGUAUGGGAGAGGGAAGUGGAAUUUCCGGUGUAGCGGUGAAAUGCGUAGAGAUCGGAAAGAACACUCGUGGCGAAGGCGGCUUUCUGGCCCAAAACUGACGCUGAGGUGCGAAAGCAUGGGGAGCAAACAGG
rnacentral:rRNA from 1 species